AGCAGGGUGGCUCAGUGGAAAGAGCACGGGCUUGGGAGUCAGAGGUCAUGGGUUCGAAUCCCGGCUCUGCCA
rnacentral:tRNA from 1 species